UCGGUGUUGUGAGCCAACAAAAGGCUGGCAACUGGCAAACUGGCAGCUGGCAGCUGGGCAGCUGGCACAGUUACCGGCUACGGCUCUGGCACCGCCGUGCGAGAAAUGUGUGUGUGAGUGCAAACCACCACAGAGCACGGGGCAGCCGUUGGAUUGGCUUUGGCUUUGACUUUUGAGCGACGCGUAGCCAGCCAAGAAAAGUGGCCAACUGUCAGCAAGCCAGCCUGCCAGCCAAGUCAGCCAAGCCAGCCAGUUAGUGAGCCAACAACAUCAAUUGCUGGCCAAGUGAGGUGGUGAUGGUAAAGGUCCAAGAAGAUGAUGAUGACGACGCAGCAGCAAACCGUGCCAAACAGUGCAGGAUGGUUGUCAAGGAAUAUAUUUUUUUUGGCCGCAGACGCAGUUUGAUUGGCCAAGUCAAACAGUGGUUUUGACCCUGGCCAAGAUCGCCACAAUGGACGCCAAUUGACAGCUUGUACACACACACAUACACACACAGAUGCAUACUUGCAUAGACACAGUGGUGCAGCAGCAACAACAACAGCGUCAUGCAGGAUACGUUCGUCUCGAUUAUACAGCAAAACAACAACAACAACAAAAUAAAACAAUAAAAACGUGUCGCGCCGCAAAAACAACAACAUACAAAAUGCGCUGUGUUCUAUAUAUGUAUGUGUGUGUGUGUGUAUGUGCGUGUGGCAACCUUUUGAACUGACCAACGUGCGCCGCCAACUUUUGGCCAGUGCCAAAACACGACGUGCGCCAAUGGAGCAACUGGCGCAAAGCCCAGAAAAAACGCAGCAGCAGCCGCAGUUGCAACAACCAUUGUUUCAACUGGCCGCUAAUCAUGUGUUGCACGCCAAUGUCAGCGAACAAAUUGGCUCAAAGCACACGCGUCCGAAACCUCAAAGGAUGCGCAUCAGGCAUCAGGCGGCAUCGGCAUCGACAUCAGCAACAGCAACCGCAGCAGCAGCAACACCACCAGCAGCAGCAGCUCUGAAAAUCACGCAUACGCAGCGUGCAAUAAGAAAAUUAAAAUAAUAUACAUAAACUCUAACCAAACUUCAAGUAGUGACUAGUGACUUCAAAUACCACAUUAAAUAUUAAAACAAAAAAAACUAAAUUAUAUAAUAAAAAAAAUACAAAAAAAUAAGUAGCAAACGUAGUGUUAAAUACUUCUAUGCCAAUUAUAUAAACGAUUUAAACAAACUAUGAUAUAACCAACACCAAUAAUUACCGAAUUACAUAAACACUAGUGCAAUCUAUUAAUAAUUUUGCAAUUUACAUACAAUUAGAAACAGUUAAUGAACUUAAUUGGUAACUGAAGACACUCGUAGACAAUUUACGUUUAGUAAAACCCAAAACUGAUGACAUAAAAUAAAAUCAGCGCGAGUUUUGGGCAUCGUUUCCAAAAUAUUCAAUCGAAGUGGCAGCCCGACAAAAAUCUGUGAGAGGAUGCGUAGCGGCAACAGUAGCAGGAGGACAUCUGAGCAGUUAUUAGAGUGGACCAAUGCGAUGCGUUAAAGGAGCCUCGUUGGCCAAUUGGCGGCCACGGUCGUUGCAGCUAGUCCUGGGUCUGACCAACCAAUGGCAGCGCAGCAGCGGCUGAACUUCAACUUAGCAGCAGCGUAAU
rnacentral:sRNA from 1 species